AUCAUUUACUUGUCAUUUGAUUAUUUUGCAGAAAAGUACGCAAAGGCACUAUAAACUUCAAGAUUCGGACAAGUUGGCUAUUGAGAAGAGAGAAGGGCAGGAAAGAAGUGAAGAAAGGGAGUUGAGCGAGAAAAAUUGAAGUAAUCAAGGAGCCAAGCUAUAGAUGGCAGGACCAACUUUGGAAGAAAGAAGAGAAGUAGCAGGGCCAACUCGUAAAUUGGCAGAUCAUAGGAGGGGAUCAAAAUCCCUAGCGCAACCUCAAUUCCACUCGGGCCUGGCAUCUCAUCUCUCUCCCUCACCCUUCCUUCUCCACCUCCGGCCGCCGCCAUGGCUAGGCCGGCGUGGUGGUGCGCCUCCGCACCAUCAGCACACCCACCACAAACAUCCACCACUCACCACCAACUUCAUCCACCAGCGCCACCAUCUCAAGCCACCGCCUCACCUCGCGCGCCUGACCAGACAAGGGCGAGCACGGGCGUCUGGUCCUCCGCGUGACCUCUCCCUCUCCGCCGAUCCUCUCUUCCUGAUGCCCCUGCUGCUCCUUCUCUUUGCGCCUCCUUUGCUGAUUCUCUGCUCUGAACCUCAAGUUGCUGCUGCCACUUCUUCUUCUCUGAACCCAAACUCUGUUGUUCGCUGCUCCUCUUUCUUUGCUGGUGCUUCUUCUUCUCAUGCCCCCUGCUGCUUCUCUCCUCACGUCCCUGCUGCUUUUCUCCUCACAUCCCUGCUGCUGCUCCAUUCCCAAUCUUGCUGCUGUUCUCUCUCUCCCUCUCUCUCUCAAAUUUCUAUAAUCUUCAGAAGUGUUAUAACUAAUACUAUGUAAUGUUCAGUCUUGAUAAGUGUAGUAUCCUGCUGCUUGGCUCAGUUUCGAAUUUAUAAUAUAAAUGCUAAAUUAGUAUGGCCUGAGUAGUUGAUACCUUGUCACUUAGAGAAGUACUUGAUCUGUUAUACUUUGUUUAGUGAAAUAGUAAUCUUCAUAUGUGUGUGGUGUCCUAUGAGAUAUACAUAUGUGUGUGUUUGUGAUGUGAUACAUAUAUUCUGUCCUACAACCUUGUUUCUUCCCUCUGUCAUACUUGUUGUUAUUAUACAUAUUCUUGUCUUGCUGAUUUCCUUUUGUUGUUUAAGUAGUAACACCUGUGCUAGUAUUAUAGUUUCUCAAGUAAUGAAAAUACCAAAAAGAUAUUGAGUAAAAUCUGAAUUUCCCUUUGCUAUUUGUCAUUUUCUUUGUCAAUGAUCUUUGGGAACAACCUUGUUAGUUUAGGUUUUAUUUUCAGUUUUCAUCACCCAAUUCUGUGUCACCUAGCUUUAGCCGAGCGUCGUCGCUGAUCGUCUAGGCCCUGAGGAGAACUUCGACAUCCACAGUUUGGGUGAAAUAUCCCGCUGUAUUUCAAUUGAUCAUUUUGGCGCCGUUGCCGGGGAGUAGCGUAGAGUGACCAUGUUAGGCUAUAGACUAGGUUUUACUUGUUUUUUCUUUUGUGCUAUAUAUAUGUGUGUGUGUGAUAUAUCUCUAACCCCUAACCAUUGUUCCAGUUAUUUUCUCUUUCUUUUCUUGGUUAUUCUGCAGGUUAUUGCAUCUUUUCAGAUAUGGCUUACUAUUCAGAUCAUCAUGCUUAUGCGAGCAACACUACAAAUAGCACAGAAAGUAUUCAAGAACUGAUUAGUAAGAUUUCCCAUCGAUUAGAUGAUUUAGCUCGGCAGCGAGAAGUAGUUUUUGAAGAUAGGCCUAGCUCUUAUGAUCCUUAUUCUAGAGGCCAUCCUUAUGUUGCUCCUACAUGCCAUAUUUGUGGAUUUCAGGGCCAUUCACCCGCUGAAUGUCAGCGUGGUUACUCUCACUCUCCCGAUUGUUAUGGCAUGAACUUCGCCCCACAGCCUAGCUCAUACCAAAACAAUUGCUCAUAUGGGUGGCCUGAAAACUAGAAUAUGUCAUAUAGGAGCAACAACCCUGAGAUGUCACCAUUUGCUUCUAGUAAUCAUAUGCAGGGAUUUAGGUACAAUGAGGAGAGCAACAACUAUGCGCCACAACAAUUCUAUUCACCUCCUAAUCAUAUACCUCAACACCAGGAGAUGUUGCCAAUGGAGUUAAAUGGUCCUCCAUUUGGUCAACCAACACCUUCAACACAAGUGCCCACACAAGAUGACUUUGAUGAUAUAGACAAGCUCACAUUGCUUAGUCUCGAGUUCACUUGGAGUGCCGAAGAUGAUCCAAUUAGGCCGGUGAUACUAGAGGAAAUGAAGAAGAUCAUGAGUGGAAAAGAGCUAGUGGAAGAAGUAAGGAAGAUUGAGAAGAACAUUAACGCUGGGAGCACUAUUUCUUCACAGCUUGAGCUGAGUGUUUCUGGGAUAUCUCUUGAUACAUGUGAGGUUCCAACACCUUCAUAAGAGAUACUUCAUAUCCAAGAAGAAAUUCUCGAAGUCAAGGAACAAGAUGGAACAGAGCUUGAAUGCCCAAGUGAUCAAGAUGAAGAUCCGUUGCCUAUCACUCCUGGAGAAGUAAAAGAAGUUGUUGUAGAUGAAGAUGAAGAACCUGAGAUUCAUUUGCCUAUUGUCAUACAAGAGUGUGAUUUGUUAGGUUCAUUCAAUCCUCUUAAUGACAUGUCUCCAUAUGAUUUGUUUGCUACUACCUUGCAUUGCAUGAUGCCAUCACUUAAGAUUGAUUUGAAAACUCAUUUGCUUGGAUAUGAUGAUAUAUACCCUGUUAGUGGCAGUACUCUCAUUUGUGAUGAUCAUAGUUACUUUCCUCGUGCUAGUCCUAUGCUUAAUUAUAAAUAUCAUCCUCAUGUUAGUAUUGAGCUUGUUGAUUCGUAUCAUACUUGUCAUGUUCUUUAUAGCUAUGCUUAUGUACUUGGGUACUCUAUUGAUGAUUUAGAGGGCAUUACCCCUUUCACUUGUAUGGUCUCUUUUGUCGAGUGCUCUUUCAGGUUUUUGCUACUGCAUCGUUCACUACAUGCUGACCAGGUUCGAGGUGACAUUCCUUGGGACCCCGGUGGAUUUAGAGCAUGGUGAAGAGGAGAAGCAAUGGGCACAUACAAGGAAGAGAGAAGCUGGAGCAUGCACGAGGAUAGAGAGCAUGAGGAUAGAGAAGCAAAAGCAGGGGAGUCACAAUGCAAGAGAUGUAGUUGGUGAGAUGAUCGAGCGAGUGCUACUUCAUAGUGCCCGGUGUAUACCAUGUUCUCUGGAUCGGUGGUAUGUUCCUUUGGGGAGACAAACAAAAAAACUAAUAAUUGGUCGAGCCGGGUGUAUACCAUGUUCUCAGGAUCGGUGGUAUGUUCCUAUGGUGAGUCUACUAAUAAUAUAAUCAUUGCUUUAUCUCUGUAAAUAAGUGUUUUAAUCACAAGAUUUAAUUCCAGUUCUUUUUGUUCUCGGGAUAAUGCUCUCUUUACGAACCAUUUGGCACAGUCAUCAUUUAAACUUGUUGAUCCUCUUUUAUCAUUGUAAAAGUUUAAAAUGGUCAUGCUUACUAGUAUCCUACUGCUUUGUAGAACUCUUAACCAUUGAUUUUCACUAGCAAAGUUCAAAGCAUGCAUUGUUUGGAGAUCUACUUCACUGGGACAUUCUCUAGUCAGUUCGCUGUUCACUACCUUGCUCUUGUCAAAUGCCGUUACUUGAGGACAAGUAAAGAUUUAAGUGUGGGGGAACUUGAUAAGUACAUUUCCUAUUCAUAUUUUGGCACACACACACCAUUUAUUGUGAUCCGACGAUCCAUUCUUGCCGUGAACAUAUAUUUGAAUGAAAAUCAUUUAAAAGAUCAUUUACUCGUCAUUUGAUUAUUUUGCAGAAAAGUGCGCAAAGGCACUAUAAACUUCAAGAUUCGGACAAGUUGGCUAUUGAGAAGAGAGAAGGGCAGGAAAGAAGUGAAGAAAGGGAGUUGAGCGAGAAGAAUUGAAGUAAUCAAGGGGGCAAGCUAUAGAUGGCAGGACCAACUUGGGAAGAAAGAAGAGAAGUAGCAGGGCCAAAUCGUAAAGUGGCAGAUCAGAGGAGGGGAUCAAAAUCCCUAGGGCAGCCUCAAUUCCCCUCGGGCCUGGCAUCUCAUCUCUCUCCCUCACCCUUCCUUCUCCACCUCCGGCCGUCGCCACGGCUAGGCCGGCGUGGUGGUGCGCCUCCGCACCAUCAGCACACCCACCACAAACAUCCACCACUCACCACCAACUUCAUCCACCAGCGCCACCAUCUCAAGCCACCGCCGCACCUCGCGCGCCCGACCAGACAAGGGCGAGCACGGGCGUCUGGUCCUCCGUGUGACCUAUCCCUCUCUGCCGAUCCUCUCUUCCUGAUGCCCCUGCUGCUCCUUCUCUUUGUGCCUCCUUUGCUGAUUCUCUACUCUGAACCUCAAGUUGCUGCUACCACUUCUUCUUCUCUGAACCCAAACUCUGAUGUUCGCUGCUCCUCUUUCUUUGCUGCUGCUUCUUCUUCUCACGCCCCCUGCUGCUUCUCUCCUCACGUCCCUGCUGCUUUUCUCCUCACGUCCCUGCUGCUGCUCCAUUCCCAAUCUUGCUGCUGUUCUCUCUCUCUCUCUCUCUCUCAAAUUUCUGUAAUCUUCAGAAGUGUUAUAACUAAUACUAUGUAAUGUUCAGUCUUGAUAAGUGUAGUAUCCUGCUGCUUGGCUCAGUUUAGAAUUUAUAAUAUAAAUGCUUAAUUAGUAUGCCCUGAGUAGUUUAUACCUUGUCACUUAGAGAAGUACUUGAUCUGUUAUACUUUGUUUAGUGAAAUAGUAAUCUUCAUAUGUGUGUGGUGUCCUGUGAGAUAUACAUAUGUGUGUGUUUGUGAUGUGAUACAUAUAUUCUGUCCUACAACCUUGUUUCUUCCCUCUGUCAUACUUGUUGUUAUUAUACGUAUUCUUGUCUUGCUGAUUUCAUUUUGUUGUUUAAGUAGUAACACCUGUGCUAGUAUUGUAGUUUCUCAAGUAAUGAAAAUACCAAAAAGAUAUUGAGUAAAAUCUGAAUUUCCCUUUGCUGUUUGUCAUUUUCUUUGUGAAUGAUCUUUUGGAACAACCUUGUUAGUUUAGGUUUUAUUUUCAGUUUUCAUCACCCAAUUCUGUGUCACCUAGCUUUAGCGUCGCUGAUCAUCUAGGCCCUGAGGAGAACUUCGACAUCCGCAGUUUAGGUGAAAUAUCCCACUGUACUUACAAUUGAUCAUCUCCAUCUCCACCACUCCACCACUCCACCCAGUACCACCAUCACCUCCAUCCACCUGCGCCACCCAGCCAUCCAUUCACUCAUUUCCACCAGCGCCACCAUCUCCACCACAGCGCCAUCACUCCACCGCCGCACCUCGCGCGCCUGACCAGAUGGGUGUCUGGGUACCCGCGCGACCUUGCCUUCUGCCGCUGCUCCUCUUCCCCAUCCCUACUACUGCUUCUUCUCCCCUUGCCCCUUCUGUUGCUGCUCUUCCCUGCUGCCUCUCUCUCUUGCUGCUACUAUUCUGAACCCAAAACUUGUAGAUUGUCAUUGCUCCUCCUCCUUCUCCAACUGCAGCUCCUCUUCGCCAUGCCCCUGCUUCUGCUUCUUCUUCAUGCCCCUGCUGCUCUUCUCUUCUCCGCCUAGCUGUUGCUCCCUCCACUUCUCUCGCUGCUUCUUUUCUGAACCAAAACCCUUGCUGCUGUUCUUCUUCACCAAACUGAACCUACUGCAAUUUCUCUCUCUGUAUCUCUCCCUCUCGCUGUAAUUUCUAUUUAUUAGAGAUGUGUUAGACCUUGUAUUAUUUAGACUUGUGCUUGUUUGGUUGUUCUCUGUUGAUCUGCAAGAACUAGAACAAUUUAUUGUCACUUUUGUUGAUGUGUAAGAACUAGCUAUAUAUGUCAUAUAUAUUCU